AAAAAAAUCCAAAAAAAAUGGGCUAAGAAUUUUAAUAUUCCAUUAAAUCCUCUUUUCAUUUCUUUGUCGAUUUCUGAAGUUUUCAAGCUUGACACAUUUUUUGAUUCAUUCUGAGAGUUCAAAUAGAGUGAUAUUGAGUUUGGGAAGAAUUUUCUGAUUCAAGUCGUUAAGGAUCACUGUUCCAUUGAAGCUGAUUUCAGUGUUUCAAUUGUUGAAUAUGGGUUGUUUUAUUGUUGUUUAUUGCUUUCACCUCUUUUCCUUUUGCAUUUUCCAGGUAUACCUUCAGAACUUGUUAUGGAAUUGAAUAUUGGCUAGCCUGUAUGAGGAUAUGGGAAUUCAAGUUAAAAUUUGAAUGAAAACCUUAAAUUUAUGAUGUAAUUACUGUUAUUCGCUACCAUUAUGUGCGAUUGAAUGAUUUAGUUAUGUAGUAGUUCAAUUUCUGAUUUAUGUGGGGUUGUUGGUUCAUGC
rnacentral:lncRNA from 1 species